UUCCGGUUGAUCCUGCCGGACCCGACUGCUAUCAGAGUGAGAUUAAGCCAUGCGAGUCAACGUAGCAAUACGUGGCGCACGGCUCAGUAACACGUAGUCAACAUGCCCAGAGGACGUGGAUAACCUCGGGAAACUGAGUUUAAACCGCGAUAGGUCAGGAUUCCUGGAAUGGGUCCUGAUUAAAAUCUAUAUGGCCUCUGGAUUGGACUGCGGCCGAUCAGGCUGUUGGUGAGGUAAUGGCCCACCAAACCUGUAACCGGUACGGGCUCUGAGAGGAGGAGCCCGGAGAUGGGCACUGAGACAAGGGCCCAGGCCCUAUGGGGCGCAGCAGGCGCGAAACCUCUGCAAUAGGCGAAAGCCUGACAGGGUUACUCUGAGUGACUUUCGCUAAGAAAGUCUUUUGGCACCUCUAAAAAGGGUGCAGAAUAAGGGGUGGGCAAGUCUGGUGUCAGCCGCCGCGGUAAUACCAGCACCCCGAGUGGUCGGGACGAUUAUUGGGCCUAAAGCAUCCGUAGCCGGUUCUGCAAGUCCUCCGUUAAAUCCAGCUGCUCAACAGAUGGGCUGCGGAGGAUACUACAGAGCUAGGAGGCAGGAGAGGCAAGCGGUACUCAGUGGGUAGGGGUAAAAUCCGUUGAUCCAUUGAAGACCACCAGUGGCGAAGGCGGCUUGCCAGAAUGCGCUCGACGGUGAGGGAUGAAAGCUGGGGGAGCAAACCGGAUUAGAUACCCGGGUAGUCCCAG
rnacentral:rRNA from 1 species